rnacentral:rRNA from 1 species
UACGUAGGGUGCGAGCGUUAAUCGGAAUUACUGGGCGUAAAGCGUGCGCAGGCGGUCUGUUAAGACCGAUGUGAAAUCCCCGGGCUUAACCUGGGAACUGCAUUGGUGACUGGCAGGCUUUGAGUGUGGCAGAGGGAGGUAGAAUUCCACGUGUAGCGGUGAAAUGCGUAGAGAUGUGGAGGAACACCGAUGGCGAAGGCAGCCUCCUGGGCCAACACUGACGCUCAUGCACGAAAGCGUGGGGAGCAAACAGG